rnacentral:piRNA from 1 species
UAGCUAGAUAUAUCCCUCACUCCCCAU